rnacentral:rRNA from 1 species
UUAUACAGCGAAACUGCGAAUGGCUCAUUAAAUCAGUUAUCGUCUAUUUGAUAGUACCUUACUACUUGGAUAACCGUGGUAAUUCUAGAGCUAAUACAUGCUGAAAACCCCGACUUCGGAAGGGAUGUAUUUAUUAGAUUAAAAACCAAUGCCCUCCGGGGCUCACUGGUGAUUCAUAAUAACUGCUCGAAUCGCACGGCCUUGCGCCGGCGAUGGUUCAUUCAAAUCUCUGCCCUAUCAACUUUCGACGGCUGGGUCUUGGCCAGCCAUGGUGACAACGGGUAACGGAGGGUUAGGGCUCGACCCCGGAGAAGGAGCCUGAGAAACGGCUACUACAUCCAAGGAAGGCAGCAGGCGCGCAAAUUACCCAAUCCCGACUCGGGGAGGUAGUGACAAUAAAUACUGAUACAGGGCUCUUUUGGGUCUUGUAAUUGGAAUGAGUACAAUUUAAUUCCCUUAACGAGGAACAAUUGGAGGGCAAGUCUGGUGCCAGCAGCCGCGGUAAUUCCAGCUCCAAUAGCGUAUAUUAAAGUUGUUGCAGUUAAAAAGCUCGUAGUUGAACCUUGGGCCUGGCUGGCCGGUCCGCCUCACCGCGUGCACUGGUCCGGCCGGGCCUUUCCCUCUGGGGAGCCGCAUGCCCUUCACUGGGCGUGUCGGGAAACCAGGACUUUUACUUUGAAAAAAUUAGAGUGUUCAAAGCAGGCUUAUGCUCGGAUACAUUAGCAUGGAAUAAUAGAAUAGGACGUGCGGUUCUAUUUUGUUGGUUUCUAGGACCGCCGUAAUGAUUAAUAGGGACAGUCGGGGGCAUCAGUAUUCAGUUGUCAGAGGUGAAA